UGCAUCUGUUUGACAGACCUGGAGCAAUUACUGUCUGCUGCUGAGAGUUCCACUACAGAUACAAGAAAAAGUGUCCUUACGCCUUCUGUCUGAUUGUGGCAGCCACAUUUGAAUGGGAGAACAUUG
rnacentral:snoRNA from 1 species